GGCAGAGGACGACCUCCAGCGAUGGAACAGUCCCGGGACGGCCCGG
rnacentral:ncRNA from 1 species